GGUGAACGCUGGCGGCGUGCUUAAGACAUGCAAGUCGAACGCAGUCUUCGGACUGAGUGGCGCACGGGUGAGUAACACGUAACUGACCUACCCCCAAGUCGCGAAUAACCAGCCGAAAGGAUGGCUAAUACGUGAUGUGAUGAUCCGCUGUGGCGGAUCAUUAAAGACUUGAUCGCUUGGGGAUGGGGUUGCGUUCCAUCAGCUAGUUGGUAAGGUAAAGGCUUACCAAGGCAACGACGGAUAGCCGGCCUGAGAGGGUGGCCGGACACAGGGGCCCUGAGACACGGGUCCCACUCCUACGGGAGGCAGCAGUUAGGAAUCUUCCACAAUGGGCGCAAGCCUGAUGGAGCGACGCCGCGUGAGGGAUGAAGGUUCCCGGAUCGUAAACCUCUGAACCAACGACGAAAGACCCGACAAGGGAGAUGACGGUAGUUGGGUAAUAGCACCGGCUAACUCCGUGCCAGCAGCCGCCGUAAAAC
rnacentral:rRNA from 1 species